rnacentral:lncRNA from 10 species
CUGAGGCAGAGGUAUUGCACGCUCAAACUUGGCCUGUAUUUGCCAUUUUUUUCCACUUCAUCAAAAGGUUGAAUGAAAGGAUGUCUAUUCAUCAGAUUUCCAUGGAACCAUGCCAUCAGGGAGUAUCGUGAAGGAAAAGAGAAUCAUCUUAUGGAAGCCUGCAGACACCUCCGUAAUCAAGUGAUUAAAGUGAACAUCAUUAGUAAUGGGUCAAAUUGAAAUUGCACGCCAUCUAAUAGGAUGCAAUGAAAUGAAAGAACACAGUAUCGCUUCUGAGAUAUUCCUGCCAAAGAUACAUAACAUAAAUCUCAUUAUGAGGAAACAUCAAACAUGCCCACAUUGAAGAACACUAAAAAAUAACUGACCUGUCAUCGUUAAAAGACUGAGGAGCUGUUCCAAACUAAAGGAGAUCAAAAAGACCUGUCAACUCAAUGCAACAUGUGAUUCUGAACUGGAUCCUUUUGCUAUAAAGGAGGAGGUUAUUGGGAUAAUUGUUGAGACUUGAAUGGGGUCUGAGGAUUAGAUGGUAGUGAUGUUAAUUUACUGCUGUUGGUGGUUGUAUUGUGAUCAUGCAGGAGAAUGCACUUGUUUGUAGGAAAUAUACAAACUAUACAAACUAUGAGGCUUCAGGUUGGCAGUUUUUUGUCAAAUGAUUGAAGAGAAAAUUCUAUUAUACUUGCAACUUUCUUGUAAAUUUGUGAUUGUUUCACAAUUUAAAAAUUAUUACAUAAAAA